rnacentral:rRNA from 1 species
UUAAGCGACUAAGCGUACACGGUGGAUGCCCUGGCAGUCAGAGGCGAUGAAGGACGUGCUAAUCUGCGAUAAGCGUCGGUGAGGUGAUAUGAACCGUUAUAACCGGCGAUUUCCGAAUGGGGAAACCCAGUGUGUUUCGACACACUAUCAUUAACUGAAUCCAUAGGUUAAUGAGGCGAACCGGGGGAACUGAAACAUCUAAGUACCCCGAGGAAAAGAAAUCAACCGAGAUUCCCCCAGUAGCGGCGAGCGAACGGGGAGGAGCCCAGAGCCUGAAUCAGUGUGUGUGUUAGUGGAAGCGUCUGGAAAGGCGUGCGAUACAGGGUGACAGCCCCGUACACAAAAAUGCACAUAUUGUGAGCUCGAUGAGUAGGGCGGGACACGUGGUAUCCUGUCUGAAUAUGGGGGGACCAUCCUCCAAGGCUAAAUACUCCUGACUGACCGAUAGUGAACCAGUACCGUGAGGGAAAGGCGAAAAGAACCCCGGCGAGGGGAGUGAAAAAGAACCUGAAACCGUGUACGUACAAGCAGUGGGAGCCUCUUAAUGGGGUGACUGCGUACCUUUUGUAUAAUGGGUCAGCGACUUAUAUUCUGUAGCAAGGUUAACCGAAUAGGGGAGCCGAAGGGAAACCGAGUCUUAACUGGGCGUUAAGUUGCAGGGUAUAGACCCGAAACCCGGUGAUCUAGCCAUGGGCAGGUUGAAGGUUGGGUAACACUAACUGGAGGACCGAACCGACUAAUGUUGAAAAAUUAGCGGAUGACUUGUGGCUGGGGGUGAAAGGCCAAUCAAACCGGGAGAUAGCUGGUUCUCCCCGAAAGCUAUUUAGGUAGCGCCUCGUGAAUUCAUCUCCGGGGGUAGAGCACUGUUUCGGCAAGGGGGUCAUCCCGACUUACCAACCCGAUGCAAACUGCGAAUACCGGAGAAUGUUAUCACGGGAGACACACGGCGGGUGCUAACGUCCGUCGUGAAGAGGGAAACAACCCAGACCGCCAGCUAAGGUCCCAAAGUCAUGGUUAAGUGGGAAACGAUGUGGGAAGGCCCAGACAGCCAGGAUGUUGGCUUAGAAGCAGCCAUCAUUUAAAGAAAGCGUAAUAGCUCACUGGUCGAGUCGGCCUGCGCGGAAGAUGUAACGGGGCUAAACCAUGCACCGAAGCUGCGGCAGCGACACUAUGUGUUGUUGGGUAGGGGAGCGUUCUGUAAGCCUGUGAAGGUGGCCUGUGAGGGUUGCUGGAGGUAUCAGAAGUGCGAAUGCUGACAUAAGUAACGAUAAAGCGGGUGAAAAGCCCGCUCGCCGGAAGACCAAGGGUUCCUGUCCAACGUUAAUCGGGGCAGGGUGAGUCGACCCCUAAGGCGAGGCCGAAAGGCGUAGUCGAUGGGAAACAGGUUAAUAUUCCUGUACUUGGUGUUACUGCGAAGGGGGGACGGAGAAGGCUAUGUUGGCCGGGCGACGGUUGUCCCGGUUUAAGCGUGUAGGCUGGUUUUCCAGGCAAAUCCGGAAAACCAAGGCUGAGGCGUGAUGACGAGGCACUACGGUGCUGAAGCGACAAAUGCCCUGCUUCCAGGAAAAGCCUCUAAGCAUCAGGUAACAUCAAAUCGUACCCCAAACCGACACAGGUGGUCAGGUAGAGAAUACCAAGGCGCUUGAGAGAACUCGGGUGAAGGAACUAGGCAAAAUGGUGCCGUAACUUCGGGAGAAGGCACGCUGAUAUGUAGGUGAAGCGACUUGCUCGUGGAGCUGAAAUCAGUCGAAGAUACCAGCUGGCUGCAACUGUUUAUUAAAAACACAGCACUGUGCAAACACGAAAGUGGACGUAUACGGUGUGACGCCUGCCCGGUGCCGGAAGGUUAAUUGAUGGGGUUAGCGGCAACGCGAAGCUCUUGAUCGAAGCCCCGGUAAACGGCGGCCGUAACUAUAACGGUCCUAAGGUAGCGAAAUUCCUUGUCGGGUAAGUUCCGACCUGCACGAAUGGCGUAAUGAUGGCCAGGCUGUCUCCACCCGAGACUCAGUGAAAUUGAACUCGCUGUGAAGAUGCAGUGUACCCGCGGCAAGACGGAAAGACCCCGUGAACCUUUACUAUAGCUUGACACUGAACAUUGAGCCUUGAUGUGUAGGAUAGGUGGGAGGCUUUGAAGUGUGGACGCCAGUCUGCAUGGAGCCGACCUUGAAAUACCACCCUUUAAUGUUUGAUGUUCUAACGUUGGCCCGUAAUCCGGGUUGCGGACAGUGUCUGGUGGGUAGUUUGACUGGGGCGGUCUCCUCCUAAAGAGUAACGGAGGAGCACGAAGGUUGGCUAAUCCUGGUCGGACAUCAGGAGGUUAGUGCAAUGGCAUAAGCCAGCUUGACUGCGAGCGUGACGGCGCGAGCAGGUGCGAAAGCAGGUCAUAGUGAUCCGGUGGUUCUGAAUGGAAGGGCCAUCGCUCAACGGAUAAAAGGUACUCCGGGGAUAACAGGCUGAUACCGCCCAAGAGUUCAUAUCGACGGCGGUGUUUGGCACCUCGAUGUCGGCGGUGUUUGGCACCUCGAUGUCGGCUCAUCACAUCCUGGGGCUGAAGUAGGUCCCAAGGGUAUGGCUGUUCGCCAUUUAAAGUGGUACGCGAGCUGGGUUUAGAACGUCGUGAGACAGUUCGGUCCCUAUCUGCCGUGGGCGCUGGAGAACUGAGGGGGGCUGCUCCUAGUACGAGAGGACCGGAGUGGACGCAUCACUGGUGUUCGGGUUGUCAUGCCAAUGGCACUGCCCGGUAGCUAAAUGCGGAAGAGAUAAGUGCUGAAAGCAUCUAAGCACGAAACUUGCCCCGAGAUGAGUUCUCCCUGACUCCUUGAGCUUCCUGAAGGAACGUUGAAGACGACGACGUUGAUAGGCCGGGUGUGUAAGCGCAGCGAUGCGUUGAGCUAACCGGUACUAAUGAACCGUGAGGCUUAACCUU